GGGUUGUGAGGUUAAGCGACUAAGCGUACACGGUGGAUGCCCUGGCAGUCAGAGGCGAUGAAGGGCGUGCUAAUCUGCGAUAAGCGCCGGUAAGGUGAUAUGAACCGUUAUAACCGGCGAUACCCGAAUGGGGAAACCCAGUGUGAUUCGUCACACUAUCAUUAACUGAAUCCAUAGGUUAAUGAGGCGAACCGGGGGAACUGAAACAUCUAAGUACCCCGAGGAAAAGAAAUCAACCGAGAUUCCCCCAGUAGCGGCGAGCGAACGGGGAGGAGCCCAGAGCCUGAAUCAGCAUGUGUGUUAGUGGAAGCGUCUGGAAAGGUGCGCGAUACAGGGUGACAGCCCCGUACACAAAAGCGCAUGUGCUGUGAGCUCGAUGAGUAGGGCGGGACACGUGGUAUCCUGUCUGAAUAUGGGGGGACCAUCCUCCAAGGCUAAAUACUCCUGACUGACCGAUAGUGAACCAGUACCGUGAGGGAAAGGCGAAAAGAACCCCGGCGAGGGGAGUGAAAAAGAACCUGAAACCGUGUACGUACAAGCAGUGGGAGCACAGGUUUACCUGUGUGACUGCGUACCUUUUGUAUAAUGGGUCAGCGACUUAUAUUCUGUAGCAAGGUUAACCGAAUAGGGGAGCCGGAGGGAAACCGAGUCUUAAUUGGGCGUUAAGUUGCAGGGUAUAGACCCGAAACCCGGUGAUCUAGCCAUGGGCAGGUUGAAGGUUGGGUAACACUAACUGGAGGACCGAACCGACUAAUGUUGAAAAAUUAGCGGAUGACCUGUGGCUGGGGGUGAAAGGCCAAUCAAACCGGGAGAUAGCUGGUUCUCCCCGAAAGCUAUUUAGGUAGCGCCUCGUGAAUUCAUCUCCGGGGGUAGAGCACUGUUUCGGCUAGGGGGCCAUCCCGGCUUACCAACCCGAUGCAAACUGCGAAUACCGGAGAAUGUUAUCACGGGAGACACACGGCGGGUGCUAACGUCCGUCGUGAAGAGGGAAACAACCCAGACCGCCAGCUAAGGUCCCAAAGUCAUGGUUAAGUGGGAAACGAUGUGGGAAGGCCCAGACAGCCAGGAUGUUGGCUUAGAAGCAGCCAUCAUUUAAAGAAAGCGUAAUAGCUCACUGGUCGAGUCGGCCUGCGCGGAAGAUGUAACGGGGCUAAACCAUGCACCGAAGCUGCGGCAGCGAACGUAUCACCCAAGACAACUUUACGGAGUUGACGAUUGACGGAGCGAAGCGACGUCAAAGCGUUCAUUAAAGUCGAGUUGGCUUAGGGAUACGUUCGUUGGGUAGGGGAGCGUUCUGUAAGCCUGUGAAGGUGUGUCGUGAGGCAUGCUGGAGGUAUCAGAAGUGCGAAUGCUGACAUAAGUAACGAUAAAGCGGGUGAAAAGCCCGCUCGCCGGAAGACCAAGGGUUCCUGUCCAACGUUAAUCGGGGCAGGGUGAGUCGACCCCUAAGGCGAGGCCGAAAGGCGUAGUCGAUGGGAAACGGGUUAAUAUUCCCGUACUUGGUGUUACUGCGAAGGGGGGACGGAGAAGGCUAUGUUGGCCGGGCGACGGUUGUCCCGGUUUAAGCGUGUAGGUGUGUGUUCCAGGUAAAUCCGGUUCACUUUAACACUGAGGCGUGACGACGAGGCACUACGGUGCUGAAGCAACAAAUGCCCUGCUUCCAGGAAAAGCCUCUAAGCAUCAGGUAACACGAAAUCGUACCCCAAACCGACACAGGUGGUCAGGUAGAGAAUACCAAGGCGCUUGAGAGAACUCGGGUGAAGGAACUAGGCAAAAUGGUGCCGUAACUUCGGGAGAAGGCACGCUGACACGUAGGUGAAGUGAUUUACUCAUGGAGCUGAAGUCAGUCGAAGAUACCAGCUGGCUGCAACUGUUUAUUAAAAACACAGCACUGUGCAAACACGAAAGUGGACGUAUACGGUGUGACGCCUGCCCGGUGCCGGAAGGUUAAUUGAUGGGGUCAGCGUAAGCGAAGCUCCUGAUCGAAGCCCCGGUAAACGGCGGCCGUAACUAUAACGGUCCUAAGGUAGCGAAAUUCCUUGUCGGGUAAGUUCCGACCUGCACGAAUGGCGUAAUGAUGGCCAGGCUGUCUCCACCCGAGACUCAGUGAAAUUGAACUCGCUGUGAAGAUGCAGUGUACCCGCGGCAAGACGGAAAGACCCCGUGAACCUUUACUAUAGCUUGACACUGAACAUUGAGCCUUGAUGUGUAGGAUAGGUGGGAGGCUUUGAAGUGUGGACGCCAGUCUGCAUGGAGCCGACCUUGAAAUACCACCCUUUAAUGUUUGAUGUUCUAACGUGGACCCGUAAUCCGGGUUGCGGACAGUGUCUGGUGGGUAGUUUGACUGGGGCGGUCUCCUCCUAAAGAGUAACGGAGGAGCACGAAGGUUGGCUAAUCCUGGUCGGACAUCAGGAGGUUAGUGCAAUGGCAUAAGCCAGCUUGACUGCGAGCGUGACGGCGCGAGCAGGUGCGAAAGCAGGUCAUAGUGAUCCGGUGGUUCUGAAUGGAAGGGCCAUCGCUCAACGGAUAAAAGGUACUCCGGGGAUAACAGGCUGAUACCGCCCAAGAGUUCAUAUCGACGGCGGUGUUUGGCACCUCGAUGUCGGCUCAUCACAUCCUGGGGCUGAAGUAGGUCCCAAGGGUAUGGCUGUUCGCCAUUUAAAGUGGUACGCGAGCUGGGUUUAGAACGUCGUGAGACAGUUCGGUCCCUAUCUGCCGUGGGCGCUGGAGAACUGAGGGGGGCUGCUCCUAGUACGAGAGGACCGGAGUGGACGCAUCACUGGUGUUCGGGUUGUCAUGCCAAUGGCACUGCCCGGUAGCUAAAUGCGGAAGAGAUAAGUGCUGAAAGCAUCUAAGCACGAAACUUGCCCCGAGAUGAGUUCUCCCUGAGACUUAGAGUCUCCUGAAGGAACGUUGAAGACGACGACGUUGAUAGGCCGGGUGUGUAAGCGCAGCGAUGCGUUGAGCUAACCGGUACUAAUGAACCGUGAGGCUUAACCUUACAACGCCGAAG
rnacentral:rRNA from 1 species